UUAGAAUAUUUAAGGAGUUAAUCCAUAUAAAAAAAAGGAGAGAUUAAAGGAAUAAAUCCUUAACCCCAAUAUUAGAAGGAACCAAGAGCUAUUACAAAGAUUUAUGCUACAUCCUCCCCAACGUAGACCAAAAACCAGAAAACAUAGCAAAACUGAAUAUGAAGUCUCUUUGCAGUGAAAGCCUCCCAUGUCAGAGAUAUUCCCAUAAUAACACCAAGGACACAAAGAUGAGCUCCCUUACUCCAUAGAAGCACAGAAAUACCUCAAAUACAAGCAUAAACCUUUAGAGAAAAAGCCUGCAACAUAAAAACACCAUACCUUUGUGCAGCGUAUGUUCAGACCAUAUUAACAAAAACACAUCUUCAACAAAUAUAUCAAUGAAGCAUAACAUAGAUUUAAUUGACUCAGACACUUCACUUCAAUCAUAUCAAUCUUUCCCUGCUUAAAAAUAAUAUUAUUCUUCUUAUUCAUAUGCAUCUCACUUAUAAUCUUACAUGCAUUUUUAUUCUAUACUUAUUAUCAACUCUAUAUCUCAAUCGCUAUAAUAUAUAUGACCUUUGUUCAGUAUGUAACCAAUUUUUAUUUUUUCUUGCAUGAUUAUUCCUUUCAAAAUUUCAAUCUUUGGUUUUUCUUUAGUAGAAACAACAACAAUAAGACAAUUUUUUUUAAAGUUGAAACUGUUCAAACCAAAAUAAUGAAGAGACAAUAACAGAGUUGGCUGCUGUUACUACCCUGCACUGAGUAUUAACCAGUCACUCAAUUUCAAUCUUACCCUUCCAAUUUCAAUUUAUAGAUAUCAUUAUUCUUUUGAGAAUGGUAAUUUACUCUGAUAUAAUCUAU
rnacentral:lncRNA from 1 species